UCUCAUGGAGGGACCAUUUUUGAUUAAUGGCCCAAACUUAAACUAAUUUAGGGCUUUUACGCCCCAUCUUUUGUUCGAUCAGUCAUACAGAUGAAAAAAAACGAACGGAUUACGAAGGGACGGAGCAGAUGAACGAAGGCUUGCAGCGAGGAAGAAGGAGCACGAAGGCUUGCAACGGAUAAUCCGGAUCCCUUGGCUGAUCGCAAGAGGGAGGCGAUACCAGGUCGACGAGGCCGAAGAACGACGAGGGGAAGAAGCAGCGAAGCUGCUGUGAAGUUGGCGAAAGGGAGUGGAAAUCGAGGUGGAAGAGAACGAUGCGAAGGGAUGUGCGAGGGACAAAGGAGGUCCCGAGGGGUCCGAUCGGCAGACAUACGUCGCAGGUGGUUGCUUCGGUGGUUUAGUUGUGGCAGACCCGUCAAGAGCGGAAGCAGCCGACGAUCCUCCUAGGCCUUCUUGAAUCUGUCUCUAACUGUAAACGUAGGGGAAGGGGGACGGACGGAGGUAGAGUCAGGAUGGCAGGUGAUGGUUGGUUUGGUGGAUCGGAAGAGGGUUGUUGCCCUCAUGGUGUGCUCCUACCAGCAUCUGAGAGAGUGUUAGGGAUUUUUGGUUGUCCUUUACGGUGUCCAAAUUUCUCCUCCACGAUACAAUGAUCAGAUUUGAUUUUGACGGUGUUGGAGUAUUUGUUGAUCUAUUAUCAGAUUUUGGAAAAAAAUAAAAAAAACUUUGGAGUGUUGAUUGUACUUUAAUAAUUUUGGAAGGAUUUUUGGUUAUAAGUUUUGGUUAAA